GCGGUUCGCCCCUCUGAAAUUCGGGCCGUUCCGGCAACUGACUAGCGCCGCCUUUGGCCGUUCCGAAGACUGACUCACGAGUCACGACACACACAGGGGCCACACCGAGACGCCGGCGAUUCCUCCCGUCGACGCUCACCUCCGUUCUACCAACGCGUCACCUGUUCCCGGCGAUUUCCCGACGCCCACCGCCGCUUGAUUUCCCCAAAACUGGAGGUAUAUUUACUCUUUAGUCGUUACACCAUUUCGUGUGGUUUGCUUCCUUUUUUAAUUAAGUCGUGUGAUUUCCCCAAAAUUGGAGGUAUAUAUACUCGCCUUCUUCUACAUUAGCUGGUUGAAAUGAAUCAAUGAUUUAUGCUUAGAUAUAUGAUAGCAAGUAGUAAAGUGUUGAUUUCGAAUGUAAAG
rnacentral:lncRNA from 1 species